rnacentral:rRNA from 1 species
GAUGAACGCUAGCUACAGGCUUAACACAUGCAAGUCGAGGGGCAGCAUGGUCUUAGCUUGCUAAGGCCGAUGGCGACCGGCGCACGGGUGAGUAACACGUAUCCAACCUGCCGUCUACUCUUGGACAGCCUUCUGAAAGGAAGAUUAAUACAAGAUGGCAUCAUGAGUCCGCAUGUUCACAUGAUUAAAGGUAUUCCGGUAGACGAUGGGGAUGCGUUCCAUUAGAUAGUAGGCGGGGUAACGGCCCACCUAGUCUUCGAUGGAUAGGGGUUCUGAGAGGAAGGUCCCCCACAUUGGAACUGAGACACGGUCCAAACUCCUACGGGAGGCAGCAGUGAGGAAUAUUGGUCAAUGGGCGAGAGCCUGAACCAGCCAAGUAGCGUGAAGGAUGACUGCCCUAUGGGUUGUAAACUUCUUUUAUAAAGGAAUAAAGUCGGGUAUGGAUACCCGUUUGCAUGUACUUUAUGAAUAAGGAUCGGCUAACUCCGUGCCAGCAGCCGCGGUAAUACGGAGGAUCCGAGCGUUAUCCGGAUUUAUUGGGUUUAAAGGGAGCGUAGAUGGAUGUUUAAGUCAGUUGUGAAAGUUUGCGGCUCAACCGUAAAAUUGCAGUUGAUACUGGAUAUCUUGAGUGCAGUUGAGGCAGGCGGAAUUCGUGGUGUAGCGGUGAAAUGCUUAGAUAUCACGAAGAACUCCGAUUGCGAAGGCAGCCUGCUAAGCUGCAACUGACAUUGAGGCUCGAAAGUGUGGGUAUCAAACAGGAUUAGAUACCCUGGUAGUCCACACGGUAAACGAUGAAUACUCGCUGUUUGCGAUAUACUGCAAGCGGCCAAGCGAAAGCGUUAAGUAUUCCACCUGGGGAGUACGCCGGCAACGGUGAAACUCAAAGGAAUUGACGGGGGCCCGCACAAGCGGAGGAACAUGUGGUUUAAUUCGAUGAUACGCGAGGAACCUUACCCGGGCUUAAAUUGCAGAUGAAUUACGGUGAAAGCCGUAAGCCGCAAGGCAUCUGUGAAGGUGCUGCAUGGUUGUCGUCAGCUCGUGCCGUGAGGUGUCGGCUUAAGUGCCAUAACGAGCGCAACCCUUGUUGUCAGUUACUAACAGGUUCCGCUGAGGACUCUGACAAGACUGCCAUCGUAAGAUGUGAGGAAGGUGGGGAUGACGUCAAAUCAGCACGGCCCUUACGUCCGGGGCUACACACGUGUUACAAUGGGGGGUACAGAGGGCCGCUACCACGCGAGUGGGUGCCAAUCCCCAAAACCUCUCUCAGUUCGGACUGGAGUCUGCAACCCGACUCCACGAAGCUGGAUUCGCUAGUAAUCGCGCAUCAGCCACGGCGCGGUGAAUACGUUCCCGGGCCU